AACACAACAUAAGUAUAAGUGUUGCUCCAAACUAAUUAAGUAGUAAAAAUUUAUAUAGAUUGACACGUUAAUUCACCUUUGUUAAAUAAUUAGGAUAUAAACUACAAGAAAUUGGCCCAAUUGUAAACGCUUGAGGAUAAAAAUCAAUAUCUCAAGUUUCAAUCAUCCCAAUGGAUCACAAGAGGUUUGCCCAAUCAAGACCUCGGAAUAAAUCCUGAUAUUAAUUAAGGUGCAACUUAGUACAUGUUAUAAUUUCUUAUUAAUUAAGAGUAUCAUGUAAAUAGCAAUAUGUGAUAUUUUAAGAAUACUUACUAAUUCUUCGAUAAUCACUAUAUUUUACAAUAAUGGUGAACGUGUGUACUUUACUAGUAUUCUUUUCUUUCUUUCUUUCUUUCUUGCUUGCUUGCUUGCUUGUUGUCU
rnacentral:sRNA from 1 species